CGACAAGGCCGGAUCCUGAGGCGGGGUUGGAGGUUCGGCAGUUGAACCGCUCGCGAGGAGGGGAGUCCCGGGAGAAGGGUCACUGGCCAUGGACCAGCCAGCUGGCCUGCAGGUGGAUUACGUCUUCCGGGGCGUGGAGCAUGCCGUGCGGGUGAUGGUGUCUGGGCAGGUGCUGGAGCUGGAGGUGGAGGACCGGAUGACGGCCGACCAGUGGCGGGGCGAGUUCGAUGCCAACUUCAUCGAAGAUUUGACUCACAAGACAGGGAACUUCAAACAGUUCAGCAUCUUCUGUAACAUGCUGGAGUCGGCCCUCACCCAGAGCAGUGAGUCGGUCACCCUUGACCUGCUGACCUACACAGAUCUGGAGUCCCUGCGGAACCGAAAGAUGGGGGGCCGCCCAGGCCCCUUGGCCUCGAGGUCUGCCCAGCUCAACUCCAAGCGCUACCUGAUCCUCAUCUACUCUGUGGAGUUUGACAGGAUUCACUACCCGCUGCCCCUCCCGUACCAGGGCAAGCCGGACCCUGUGGUCCUGCAGGGCAUCAUUCGCUCACUAAAGGAGGAGCUGAGCCGCCUUCGAGGGCUGGAUGGCCAGGACGCUCGGGACGGCCGGGAAACUGAGAUCUGGCACCUGCGGGAGCAGGUGUCACGCCUGGUGUCUGAGAAGCGCGAGCUGGAGGCCCAGCUGGGCAGGUUGCGCGAGGAGGCACUGGCCGGGCGGGCGGCGCGCCAGGAGGUCGAGUCGCUGCGCGGGCUCGUGCGCGGCCUGGAGCUGGAGCUGCGGCAGGAGCGCAGCCUCGGACACCGCGGGUCCGGCCGUCGAAGUCAGGAUUGCCGCCGCCUGGCCAAGGAGCUGGAAGAGGUGAAGGCGUCGGAGCGGAGCCUGCGUGCGCGGCUGAAGGCGUUGAACACCGAGCUGGCCCUGUACAAGAGGGGGAGACGGACCCCGCCGGUGGUGCCGCCCUCGGUGCGGGAAGAUCGGGCUUCCACGUCCCGGGAGCGCUCCACGUCGCGUGGCCGUGGCGCCGCCCGCUCCUCAUCCCGGGAGAGCGGCCGCGGGGGCCGGGGUCGAGGCCGCCCUGCCCGCCCCUCGCCCUCGCCCACAGGUGGUCGCGUGCCCCGUUUCGACCCGACAGCCUUUGUGAAAGCCAAGGAGAAGAAGCAGAGAGAGAUCAAGAUGAAGCAGCAGCAGCGGAACCGAUUGGGCAGCGGAGGAAGCGGGGACGGCCCAUCCGUCUCCUGGUCUCGCCAGACUCGGCCGCCGGCAGCGGUGACCGGUCGAGGAGACGCGGCUAACCGGUCCCGAAACCGCAGCUCCUCGGUGGACAGUUUCCGCAGCCGCUACUCGUCCGCCAGCUCCUGCAGCGAGUUAGAGGAUUUCUCUGAGUCCCUCCCUAGAGGCGUUCGCCGCCGCCGGGGGAAGCCGCCCAGCCCCACCACGUGGAGUGGGUUCAAUACGCAGCAGAAGUCCACCCCCCUUGAACGCGGUCGCCAUCAGAGACGCCUGGCCAGUUCGGGGGGCUGGGUUCCCAUCAAAGAGUACAGCUCAGACCACCAGGCGGCUGACAUGGCCGAAAUAGAUGCCCGCCUGAAGGCCUUGCAGGAAUACAUGAACCGACUGGACACGGGGUCGUGACCUCGGAUGCUGACUGGCGCUCCUCCAACCCCACCCACCGCUGGAUUCGGCGUGGGGGCGGGGCCGGUGUGUCCUGGCCCCGCCCAGGCCCCGCCCCUCCUGGUGCGCUUGGGAGUCUCAGGCGUGUGAGGCCCCAUCCCACCCCCUCCCGCAGGCAUGGCAUGCUGCGAGGGAGGACCUUCCCAUCCGAUCCACAGCCGUAGCUGCCACUUAUCAAGCACUUCUGGGGCUUCCCUGGCGGCUCAAAUGGUGAAGAAUCUGCCCGCAAUGCAGAAGACCCGGGUUCAAUCCCUGAGUCGGAAAGAUUCCCCUGGAGGAGGACAUGGCAAUCCACUCCAAGCACUUCUCAGGUUAACCCUAUCCCUCCAGUUCAUGGACUGACCGAAGAACUUUUAUAAAGAUGAACUCGUCCGAAA